CCUUCGGGGACUGUGAGACGGGGGGUGCAUGGGUGUCCUCCGCUCGUGUUGUGAAGUGUUGGGUUAACUCCCGCACCGAGCGCACCCCUUAUCCUUUGUUGCCACCGGUCCGGCCGGGAACUCAAAGGAGACUGCCAGUGAUAAACUGGAGGAAGGUGGGGAUGACGUCAAAUCAUCAUGGCCCUUACGACCUGGGCUACACACGUGCUACAAUGGCGCAUACAAAGAGAAGCGACCUCGGGAGAGCAAGCGCACCUCAAAAAGUGCGUCGUAGUCCUGAUUGGAGUCGGCACCUCCACUCCAUGAAGUCGGAAUCGCUAGUAAUCGUGGAUCAUAAUGCUACGGUGAAUACUUUCCCGGGCCUUG
rnacentral:rRNA from 1 species